CACGCAGGUGGCUUGGCAAGUCGGAUGUGAAAGCCCCGGGCUUAACCUGGGAACUGCAUUCGAUACUGCUGAGCUAGAGUAUGGGAGAGGAAAGCGGAAUUCCCGGUGUAGCGGUGAAAUGCGUAGAUAUCGGGAAGAACACCAGUGGCGAAGGCGGCUUUCUGGCCCAAUACUGACACUCAUGUGCGAAAGCGUGGGGAGCAAACA
rnacentral:rRNA from 1 species